UACGUAGGCGGCUUAUUAAGUCAGAUGUGAAAGCCCCGGGCUUAACCUGGGAACUGCAUUUGAUACUGGUAAGCUAGAGUAUGGUAGAGGGGGGUAGAAUUCCUAGUGUAGCGGUGAAAUGCGUAGAUAUUAGGAGGAAUACCAGUGGCGAAGGCGGCCCCCCUGGACCAAUACUGACGCUGAGGUACGAAAGCGUGGGUAGCGAACA
rnacentral:rRNA from 1 species